rnacentral:lncRNA from 1 species
GGACAAUGAGAUAUUUAAUUUGCCACGGCAAAGCCAUUGCUGUGAAGAAUGGAUAAUAUAUGUCAAUGGUAAUAUAUGAAGAAAUAACACAGAUGGAGCUGGCUUGAAAUCCUCUUGUUUAUGGCAGUACAUAUCGGUUAUGAUUCAAAAAAUAUAGCCCAUUUCCAAAAACCUGCAACAAAGAGAUACUUUCUCAGGUGAUUGUUCAGAUCAUUAUUCAUUACAAAGUGUCAGUUUUGUCUUUAUUGAUCCUCAUUAUUGUAAGAAAGUAUGUGGUCUUGUCUCCAUUCUAUUAAAACAACAUUGUAGAGAUUAGCACUGAGUCUUUCCAGCCAUAUGCAUCUGUUCAUUUCCGUCUCCAGCUUGAGUUUUUCUGUGUAUUACAAAAUAAGAAAACAAAAAUGACACAAUAAUCUAUUUUGUCUGGUUUUGCUCUUUAUUAGUAGAAAUAGACAAGUGAGGAGUUGGAGGAAGAAAUUGCUUCUGAUCUGUUUUAGAUACAGAUGAAACUCUCCCUCCCUCCCCGCCCCACCCAAUCUUUCUCUGUCUCCCUCCCUGAGCCUAUUCUUGCUUCUUCCCUUUACAAAUAAUUAACUGCUCAGGUCAUGUUGAACCAAAAAAUAGCAUCUGUAGCCCCUGUGUGCUUACUUUAAGUAUAUGUUACUGAAAAAUGCGGAGUGAGCACUUACAACUCAUUCUCCUGGGAAGCACAGUGAUACUAUACCCCAAAUGCUUUUCUUUAUCAUUUUAAUUUUUAUCUUCUUUACUUACAUUUCCAACAUCAGUUAAGAGGGUCUUGUAGUUUUCUAACUGAAAGGAGAUUGUAAAAUCUCCUUGCUCAAAACUCAGAUGCAGAAUAUUAUUUUUACUACAAUAAAUACAUCUACAACAAUGGUAUUAUAUCUGGUUUAUUUCAAAGUCAAGUUCUAAUAUAGGUAAACAAAUAUACUAAUAAAGAGAUAAUGCUUUUCUCAUGAAAUGUAUAAUCUAGUAGGAAUAAAGAUAAACAAUUUUUUUAAAAAUUCUAUUUCAUUAAGCAAAAAUGCAACUCAGAAGAAUAAUGUAUAUUAGCAGUCAUUUACUAUUUUUCAAUUAAAUUCCGAUAUAUAUGUAAAGUAAAUUAUUACUAAUAUCAAACAUAGUUUAAAGAAUUAGUGACUAUGUGCACUUGGAUCUCCAUAUGUAAUGUACUAUCAGCAUCUUCACAAACACAGUAAAUUUUACUACGCAAGUAAAACUUAUUUUACUAAACGAUGAUUACUCCUUCUAUAUUCAUAUUCCUAAACACAUACAGUUUCUUAAUGUAAUUAAGUUUUUAACUAAAAAAAGGGAAAUGCAUUAUUGAGGCGAUAGGAUUACUGGGUGGCUAUAAACACAUCUGCUGCACAGCUGACAUUUAUCUUCUACAAUGAGCAAUGACAAUUUUAUUUUUUAAUAAUCAGUAUGGACUAAUCCUGAUGAUUUUUUUUUAACAUUUUCAAAUAGGGCUGCAUAUGGCUUAAAAUUAAUAUAUACAUGUGUACCUAUAUAAUAUUCUUAUUUAUUAAUGGACUUCCUACAUAGCUCAUAUUGACGUUAGAUUUAAAUGAAAUUCCAGAAGGGUUUUCUAUAGGUAAGUCAUACAUUGGAUUUCCAUAUUACCUAUGAUUAUUGAAGUAUUUAUUUCUGUUUUUAAGACUUCAGAGCAAUUUUGCUGGUCAUUUGUUUUCUGUGUUUUUAUUUUGAAAUUGUUCUUUGAGGCAUUGUCCUAUUACAUUUUUAAGGUAUGUUAAUAAAAUAAUAUUUUUAA